CGACGUUGAUAGGCACGGUGUGGAAGCGCAGUAAUGUGUGUAGCUAACGUGUACUAAUUGCCCGUGAGGCUUGACCAU
rnacentral:rRNA from 1 species